rnacentral:rRNA from 1 species
ACGGAAGGCAGCAGUGGGGAAUAUUGCACAAUGGGGGAAACCCUGAUGCAGCGACGCCGCGUGAGCGAAGAAGUAUUUCGGUAUGUAAAGCUCUAUCAGCAGGGAAGAUAAUGACGGUACCUGACUAAGAAGCUCCGGCUAAAUACGUGCCAGCAGCCGCGGUAAUACGUAUGGAGCAAGCGUUAUCCGGAUUUACUGGGUGUAAAGGGAGCGUAGGCGGUCUUGCAAGUCUGAUGUGAAAACCCGGGGCUCAACCCCGGGACUGCAUUGGAAACUGUAGGACUAGAGUGUCGGAGGGGUAAGCGGAAUUCCUAGUGUAGCGGUGAAAUGCGUAGAUAUUAGGAGGAACACCGGUGGCGAAGGCGGCUUACUGGACGACAACUGACGCUGAGGCUCGAAAGCGUGGGGAGCAAACAGGAUUAGAUACCCUGGUA